AUCCGAAGAAGAUGAAAAAGUCAUAAAAAAGCCAAAAGUUAGUUCUAAUCCUUUGACCUUAAAUACGCCGAAUGACGUAAAUUUACUUGCUCUGUCCACUAUUGAAGUAAUAAAAGUACCAGAGAAAGAAAAAGAAGUAAUGCAAGAUCAGAACACAAAAUCUCUUGAUCAGUAUAAUGCACCUUCAUUUAAAUCGCCCACAUCAUGGUAUACUUCAGACACAAUUAA